GUAGUCCUAGCUGUAAACGAUGGAUACUUGGUGUGGGGGGUGUUAAAUCCCCCUGUGCCGAAGCUAACGCAUUAAGUAUCCCGCCUGGGGAGUACGGUCGCAAGUCUGAAACUCAAAGGAAUUGACGGGGGCCCGCACAAGCGGUGGAGCAUGUGGUUCAAUUCGACGCAACGCGAAGAACCUUACCUGGGCUUGAACUGGAGUGGAAGUAGGCAGAGAUGUCUAUGUCCUUUUCGGGACUGCUCUAGAGGUGCUGCAUGGCUGUCGUCAGCUCGUGUCGUGAGAUGUUGGGUUAAGUCCCGCAACGAGCGCAACCCUUGUCCUUAGUUGCUAACAGGUAAAGCUGAGAACCCUAAGGAAACUGUCGGCGAUAAGCCGGA
rnacentral:rRNA from 1 species